rnacentral:rRNA from 1 species
AUACGUAGGUGACAAGCGUUAUCCGGAUUUACUGGGCGCAAAGGGCGUGUAGGCGGUCUUGCAAGUCAGAAGUGAAAUUCCUGAGCUCAACUCGGGUGCUGCUUCUGAAACUGCAGGACUUGAGUGCUGGAGGGGAUAGCGGAAUUCCUAGUGGAGCGGUAAAAUGCGCAGAUAUUAGGAAGAACACCGGUGGCGAAGGCGGCUAUCUGGACAGUAACAGACGCUGAGGCCCGAAAGCGUGGGGAGCAAACAGGAUUAGAUACCCUGGUAGCCCACGCCGUAAACGAUGAAUACUAGGUGUAGGGGGUAUCGACUCCCUCUGUGCCGCAGUUAACACAAUAAGUAUUCCGCCUGGGGAGUACGGCCGCAAGGUUGAAACUCAAAUGAAUUGACGGGG